CCAAACUUCUGUUCACGUGACGUAGUCCUAUGUGUGUACCCACGCUGGUAGCGUUAUUUACGGCAUCGCCACUAACCCAGGUCUGCUCAUCAUAAUCUCGUACAUCCUGUGUUAUGGGAUAUUCAUAUGGGAAUAUCCAGCGGGUGUUUGACUUGUAAGAUUAUAUAAAGCCCGGAGUCCUUGCCAAGCUGUCAUUCCAAUAAUGAGUGUCAAUCCGUACCGUCCGUCUUUCAUUUGAUCUUUUGUUAUCACAACAGGCCUUUCACUUUGGAACACGUUACAACAGGCUCAGCAUCACAAAGAUAUGAUACGAUCCCUAGCCCUUAUCGCUCUUCUGGUAGAGACAUGCCUCGCCUUCCCGCCAUUCAGCCGUGGUUCAUACACUCUCAAAGUCAGUGGAGAGCGGAACGGAUAUGACGCUGACGUAACACCUAGCACAGAUCAGUCAAAUUCGCUUAGUCUGGGUGACGUCAUGAUGCAGACGCUCGCCAACGAAGGGACGAAUGUUGUCGUGAGUGACCGGUAUGAAUACACAACUAACCCGUCGGAGGGAGACUGGGAUCUAUUCCGGGCCGGACUAGUAUCGCAGCCCUCGGGCCUACUGCAGCAGUGUCUGUCCUUGACGUCAACCGGCAUGCAUCAGCUGUUAUAUUGUAUUAAACUUUUAUCCGAUAAAGACCAACACCAUCAAACAAACAUUCAAACGAAAAGAGGGCCGCUUAAGCUAAACCCCACUGGAUGGAAGCGGAAAAAACGAAGUACGAACGAAGACGUACAGAGAGAACUUGAGAAUAUAAGAAUUCAGUCGAUGUUAAAUCAGUUGCUUGAAAAACGGCAAAAUGCCAAUGCACGAUUUAACCCAACAGGCUGGUAAUCUGGCCGUGUAAAUCGCCUUACCGAUGGGGCAUUGGCGUGAAACUGACAUCUGGUUGCAUUCAUUUUUUCUUUAUUUCAUAUGUUGUUAUUAAAAGCGUGAAUGGAC